AGUGAACGCUGGCGGUAGGCCUAACACAUGCAAGUCGAACGGCAGCACAGUAAGAGCUUCUCUUACGGGUGGCGAGUGGCGGACGGGUGAGGAAUACAUCGGAAUCUACUUUUUCGUGGGGGAUAACGUAGGGAAACUUACGCUAAUACCGCAUACGACCUACGGGUGAAAGCAGGGGAUCUUCGGACCUUGCGCGAUUGAAUGAGCCGAUGUCGGAUUAGCUAGUUGGCGGGGUAAAGGCCCACCAAGGCGACGAUCCGUAGCUGGUCUGAGAGGAUGAUCAGCCACACUGGAACUGAGACACGGUCCAGACUCCUACGGGAGGCAGCAGUGGGGAAUAUUGGACAAUGGGCGCAAGCCUGAUCCAGCCAUACCGCGUGGGUGAAGAAGGCCUUCGGGUUGUAAAGCCCUUUUGUUGGGAAAGAAAAGCAGCAGGUUAAUACCCCGCUGUUCUGACGGUACCCAAAGAAUAAGCACCGGCUAACUUCGUG
rnacentral:rRNA from 1 species